CAACCCUCAGGCCCCCUAGGCCUGGCGUUGGGGAUCUGCCGGCCCGUGCCGCGCAGCCCCCGAAAUGUAGUGGCGGUCCCGCCGUAGUCUCCUCUGCGUAGUAGCACACCUCGCUCUGGGACUCGGCGCGGCCACGCCGUUAAACCCCCCACUUCUAA
rnacentral:misc_RNA from 1 species